rnacentral:rRNA from 1 species
GACGAACGCUGGCGGCGUGCUUAACACAUGCAAGUCGAGCGGUAAGGCCCUUUCGGGGGUACGACGAGCGGCGAACGGGUGAGUAACACGUGGGUGGACCUCGCCCUCCAGCUCUGGGAGUAAGCCUGGGAAACCGGGGUACGUAAUACCGGAUAUGACUCCAUGACGCAUGUUGUGGGGUGGAAAGCCUUGUGCGGCUGAGGAUGGGCCCGCGGCCUAUCAGCUUGUUGGUGGGGUGAUGGCCUACCAAGGCGACGACGGGUAGCCGGCCU